rnacentral:rRNA from 1 species
UUUCCAGAGAUGGAUUGGUGCCUUCGGGAACUCUGAGACAGGUGCUGCAUGGCUGUCGUCAGCUCGUGUUGUGUAAAUGUUGGGUUAAGUCCCGCAACGAGCGCAACCCUUAUCCUUUGUUGCCAGCGGUCCGGCCGGGAACUCAAAGGAGACUGCCAGUGAUAAACUGGAGGAAGGUGGGGAUGACGUCAAGUCAUCAUGGCCCUUACGAGUAGGGCUACACACGUGCUACAAUGGCGCAUACAAAGAGAAGCGACCUCGCGAGAGCAAGCGGACCUCAUAAAGUGCGUCGUAGUCCGGAUUGGAGUCUGCAACUCGACUCCAUGAAGUCGGAAUCGCUAGUAAUCGUGGAUCAGAAUGCCACGGUGAAUACGUUCCCGGGCCUUGUACACACCGCCCGUCACACCAUGGGAGUGGGUUGCAAAAGAAGUAGGUAGCUUAACCUUCGGGAGGGCGCUUACCACUUUGUGAUUCAUGACUGGGGUGAAGUCGUAACAAGGUAAGCGUAGUGCU